GUGCUUUUCUGUUUAGCCCCUUACGCUUUUUACAAAUUGAAUGUGAAGAAGACAAAAUUCUGUUUUGGGGGUGUGUUUGUGGUUGGUAGUUAUGCUGGGUAUGUACAUGUGCUUUUGCCCUGUUGACUUUUUUGGGUCUUUCUUGUUCUCUUUGGAUUGGUGUUGUCUCCCCGUCGCUGGUGGCUUGCUCGUGCCGGUGGCCGUUGCUGCUUGUCAUCUUCUGUUCCUGAAUCGGUCGAGUGUGUUCGCUGACCGGAGGAGGAGCCGACGAUGAUGGGUGGGAUUUGCGCGCUGGUGGUCGGGGAUGCCGAGGAGGAUGAGACGGAGCUCUGCGCGAUCUGCGUCCACGUCAUGGUGCCCGGACGGCCGGACGGCCAGUGCGCGUCCUCCCCGGAUGUACCCGCGCCUUCCACCACGACUACGUCCACCGGUGGCGAACCAUCUCGCCGCGCUGCCUCGUCUGCAAUGCGUGGGUGACGCAGCGGUCGCAGGGACCUAACCGUCGCCGUCGCCCGCCCAGCCUGAUCUGAGUUCUUGGCAUGUCGGCGUUCCUACUUUCCUUAUAAUGGCUCAGCUCUUGGCUCUUGGUGAGAGCUCGUCGUGCCGCAAUCCUUCGUGGUAGGAGUUCUUCCUCACGGCCAGCAUGUGAAUCAACACGAUCAACAGCUACCUCGUUCAAUUCUGGCCCUUCGUACCAGUCUUUGGUCAUUCGGAGGAAAAGGAAAUUGGCAAUCUUGCGUCGCCGGUUGUUUGCUUCACCAGGUUGGUUCUUUAGCCGUGUUUAGUUGCAAAAUUUUUCUUCAAACUUCCAACUUUUCCAUCACAUCAAAACUUUCCUACACACAAACUUCCAACUUUUCCGUCACAUCGUUUCAAUUUCAAACAAACUUCUAAUUUUGGCGUGAACUAAACACACCCUAAGGGUCCAGGCAAUGAAUUGCUUAAGACCCCUGUACUGUAGCUCUAUUUAUCCGUACACAGUACUGCACAUGAAUAGAUGAUUGCCUCUGUUUUUUUUUUGGUCGAAUGCUCAGGAGGCCAGUAAUACAAUAUGCUUUUAGAUUUUUUUCUGGAAAAUAUUCUCAUUGUUUGCGAUAAGUCUUAUAAGCUGACAAAUAAAUGAAGCAAUCAAAAUUGAUAUUAGGGUAAGUUCUUAUACUUCUAUAAAGAUUAAGGCCAGAAAAUAGAGAGGGAUCUUAGAUUUUGUCACAGAUGAUAUGAUACUUCACCCUGUGUGACAUUUUCAACUGAGGAGUUGUAAAGAAUAUCUGCAACAAUAAUUUGGAAGUGAAUCAUGACAAGUAUUCUUCAUAUAAUUUACUAGCAUGAUUCUAUUUCUUUUUGCAAGAGAUCAAUGCUGCUAUUAAAUUCAGUCAAGAGUGUAUCAUUACCUUUCUAACAUUAAUAUUGCCCUUGGAUCAUAAGGCCACACCAUGAAUGCCUGCACUUUUGGUCUUUGAAAAUAUAUUUGUAUUGUUUUGAGGGUGAAGCUAGCUAUGGAGCAACAUGCACAGAUUAGAAAAAAUGUAAAAGUGCUUGGGAAGACAUGUUGAAUACUGAGCAUGCAGAUGCAGGUAAUCGAAAGAAAAGUUGAAAUGGAUAUAUUAUGCUUCCUAAGGUAUUAAGAAAACAUCUGUUUUGUUCUAACCCAUGUAUGCCCUAUGUCAGUGACAUUCUGAAAGAGCAUUUGGCUAUAUACGAUUCAAAAAAAAAAAGAUGCUACCGAAUUUUUUUGGUGCAAACAUGCUUACAUGCUUGAAGAGCGAACCAUUUGCAUCUUGCAGCUGCGCUGAAGUGGUUUGAACAUGUUUGCAGACAAAAUUGUGGUUUGUAAUGAGCUCUUCCCACUUGUAAUCCUUUAUGGUGGAGAAGAAUGCCAAUCAGAGCAUCCACCUAAAUGAACACCCAUUUGAAAGUGUUUGUCCUUUUUGUUAAUAAAAAUUAUAGCCCAAUUCACUUUUUUAUCGUUCAUCUUUGUUGGUGUAUUGUCUUCUAUUAAGCCACUUAAUGACUUAAUGGAUUCGCAAGGACGACUUAUACUUCAUUGUACUCUGUUUAUUAAACAAAUGUAGACCAUAUUUAUCAAAAUAUGUAUCUACUAUCUAAUCAUUUUAUGUAGAACUAUUUGCCAUCGCGCGCGGCGUGGCGCCGCGCUCUCCUUUCUAGUAAAAGAUCAAGGACCAUUUCUUUCUUUCCUCCAACGACUUCAACAAUGGAAUAUGUUCUGGCUUCUACACCACAUAAGAGCAGGAGGAAUUACCAUAUGCCAGCCUGACAGAAAGGGCCUUUAUGACCAGGACAUCUAAAGAAAUCAAUCCUGCAAUGGUUCAGCUGCUGCAUACAACUGAUUCACCUGAUGAAGAGAUAGAUAUCAGGUAUCCUUUGCUGCAAAACAAACGAUAUACUACUAGUAUAAGGCCGAGUUUAGUCCCUUUGAAUUAAGGAUUUAUAUUAGAAUUUCAUAGGAUUCAAAUCCUAUAGGAAUUUUUUUCUAUUUGGCCAUUUGAUUUAAAGGAUUGAAGUUUUCAAAUCCUAUGAAAUUCUUAUGGAAUGACACAUUGCAUAUGGG